rnacentral:tRNA from 1 species
CAGGUGGCGGAUUAGUGCGUUAGUAGUAAGCCCUCAAGUUGAAGAUUAAAGCUCUCUUC